CAGUAGCCGCGGGAAUACGAAGGGGGCUAGCGUUGUUCGGAAUUACUGGGCGUAAAGCGUGCGCAGGCGGUUGUGUAAGACAGGUGUGAAAUCCCCGGGCUUAACCUGGGAACUGCGCUUGUGACUGCACAGCUAGAGUAUGGCAGAGGGGGGUGGAAUUCCACGUGUAGCAGUGAAAUGCAUAGAGAUGUGGAGGAACACCGAUGGCGAAGGCAGCCCCCUGGGCCAAUACUGACGCUCAUGCACGAAAGCGUGGGGAGCCAACAGGAUUAGAUACCCCCGUAGUCCCUGUCUCUUAUAC
rnacentral:rRNA from 1 species